rnacentral:piRNA from 1 species
UGAAUGGGUUUGUGAGAACACGAUUUCCUUC